GUGGUGAAUAAGACCACUGGCAACAUUUGACCACUCCUGGUGUUGUCCGUGGAGAACACAUACACACACACACACACACACCCACAGAAUCACUAAAACACACACCCUCGCCCGCAUGUGCACAUAAACACUUAAGGAUGAUGAUCAUAUUUUUCAAGACUAUUGAACAUCAGUAUCAGUAGGACCUGAUCAUAGUCAACUGGUAUCUUUUCAAUAUCUCCUUAUCUCUUCUCAAUAGACUGAUUUCCAUCUUUAAAGUUAAGAGGUAUAGCCAUAGACGAGUCACUCUUCAUGGAGACACAGCUUGGUCCAGGGGAGUCUGCUCUCUCCUGCUGGACUCUUCUAGAAAAACAAGAACAAGGAUUUAUGGAUGUUUGUAAUUCUCUUUAUUAAAGUUAUUUGAAGCAUGAUUGUUUUGACCAUGGAUACGAGCGCUGGGCUAACCCACAUAACAUUAUCUAUAGCUGUUUGGGUAAUCGGCUCAUCUAAUUGGCAAGUUAGCAAGUUAAGCAAUUUCAUUUAUAUACCUUUUAGUCACGUGACUAAACGUGACUAAAGGUAACAUAGAUAAAACUUAAAGGCAUUAACUCCAUCGUGAACACUACUGGUGUUGUCCGUGGAGAAAUCACACACAUACUGUACACACACAAACACACACACACAGACACACACACACACACACACACACACACACACACACACACACACACACACACACACACACACACACACACACACUCACCUGUAUGUGCACACACACAGACUAUUGAACAUCAGUAUCAGUGGGAUCUGAUAAUAACCAACUAUGUAUCUAUUCAUUGUCUGUUUGAAACCAAGAUUCAGAUUCUGUCUACUUUAUUGAUCCCAAGAAGGGUAAUUCAUAUGCAGCUUACCCAGUCCUAUCACACAACUUAAAAUACUUGUAAGACUCACAGACAAGUCAAGAUAGUUAUAUGUCAGAGGCUACAGAUCAACAUGCAUAGGUCAGUACAAGGAGACAAAGAGACUAACACCUGUUAUGGUUCAUAUAAAUAACCAAGUUUAAAGGGUUGUAAGAGUUGUUUUAAAUUACUUCUGUCUGUGUUUACAGUUUUUCUCAAUCGUUUAAACACGUUUUCUGAAACUAUAGAUCAUUUUCUCAAAGCUCUAAACACUCACCUGAGAAGAGUUAAUCAUUUUGUCAAAACUACACAAAUUCUUCUCAAAAAUGUUUUUUUCCACCAAACAGUAAACACAGCUAUCAAAUGAAUAUCUCAUAGAGCAUCAAUUAAACAAUUGUGUGAUCAAUUCAAAACACUUCCAUCAAAAUGCUAUUUACAUAUGUUUUUGCCUUUAUGAGGUCAUGUUACAUAUUCCAAUGUAUAAAAUUGUUUAGAAAUAGCUUUCUUUUUUAAAGUUGCAAUCAGGUGGUACAAAUAGUAUAAAAACUGUUGCCAUAUUGUAAUACAAUACUGUGAAUAUAUCAUAUAAAUAUUGCAUUGACACAAUCAUAUCAGAAUAGGAUACAAUGCAUAUUUGUCUAUCCAAUAAGCUCCAAUGGGCUAAACUCACAAUCCCAGCUUCCCAGAGUCAUACUGUACACCUAUAGUUGAUGCUGCAACAUUGUUCUGACAAUACAUGUUACCUAUUUUGGUUAAUUACAGUACAGUACUGUAAUUGCACUGAUAAGUAAAAUGAAAAACACUAGUUCGAAAAUGUUUAGACUGUCUUUCGGGGAUGUAAUGAUGAAAUCAGUGCAAGUACAAGUACAAAAUGGUAACAAAGCAAAUAUAUAUAUUUUACUGUAAUACAGUCCAAUGUUCAGCUGUACUGACUGCAUAAAAAACCUUUCGUAGGCUACCAAAAAAUAAAAAUAAGAAUAUAAAUGAGGUGAAGCAGAUCUACAUGUAAAUCUGUAUGUAUCCCACCUCCAAUCCUGAUCAGGCCAAAGGACCAUAUCUACAACACAGUAGAGCUCACCGAGUCCUCUUUAAUGCUCUGACACAUGAUUGAAGUGUUUAGCCAGUUGAGUUUGAACAGGUGAGAAGUGAGUUAGACUUAUUGGCAAUAAGUUGUUGCGUUUUGAAGGCCAGUGUGAUCCAGGUGAACCAAGUGUGCUAAAUGAUGAGGCUUGUUCUUAGAGUUGAGCAAAAAUGUGAAAAGAGUGGAAUUGUGCUUAGAGUUUAGCAUUCUGGAGUAUUGUAGUUGAUACAUGACCUUCAAGUUUUCAGAAUUGUGUGCAUGGUUCCAUUUGUUGUGUUUAUACAAUCGAGAAAAACUGUAAUAGCCUGAUUGUGGAAGGAGUGAAGGACUUAGUGUAGCGGUUUGUCUUGCUUAGGGGCACCUUGUAACGCCAGCAUGAGGGCAUUACAGUGAAUUCACUGGAAAGAACAUGGUCCAAUUGACUCAUCAU
ensembl:lncRNA